CCAACCGCCGCCACGGACGCGAGUGCCAUGACUGUAUAGAGAUUACCAAAUGAGUGCUUCGCGGACGCACCGCACGCGAUCAUCGGUGCCUUACAGAAGAACCUGUUCUAUUUGACUGUGUUUUUUUUUUAAUUUCCAAACCGAACUAGGAUAAGACUUUUCUUGGAUCGUACCGUUUGUGGCUAAUGUAUGGCGAUGUCGCGUCGUCGCAGGCUCGAUGGAGGCGGGUGAGCGGGACCGUCGGCGCCGAUGCGCGCCUGGUUCGUCGUGUGUGCGGCGCUCGUCGCGGUAAGCCGGGCGACCGCGGCGACGUCCGCGCACCCCCACGCCCCUACCGCGCGACUAGAGCGGAUCAAGUCACAGAUACUCGCCAAGCUGGGUCUGACCUCAAGACCGACACCACAAGGCGCGCCGCCCCGCGACGUUGUUCGCGCGAUCUUGGCGCGCGCAGCCGACUCCGAACCACAACCACCACAGCAAGAGGAGCACAUGAGAGAAGUCAUUGCGAUAGCGCAUAAAGAUUUUAGAAAUUUAACAUUCGAAGAUCGUAAUUAAAAAUGAUGCUCCAAGAUUUGAUCUGAGAUGUCUGAAGCUUGCUGCGCACUGGACUUCUCUAAGGAAACAAGAGAUGAACCAGGAAGCCGAUCUUCAAGGUCACCGUCACCAGUCAUCGGCUUGGAAGCGAAUGACAAAUGGAAAUAGAGACAGAAUGAGCUUCCGGUAUCACGUAAGCACGAAUAAAACCAACGAAAACGGGUGAGCUUUUUCCUAAGAUUAUUAGAAUAUGAUUGACUGACAAAAAACUUUAUUUCAUAAUGACGUAAAAGCUUCAUAGUGUAUGGCAGGAAAAACAAUUGGGCUCCUGCGUUAAUAGAAAUAAACGGACUACCGG